GAGCUUGAGUCACUUUGCAGCACAUAUAUUAAAACUAGAAGGAUACAGAGAAGAUUAGCAUGGCCCUUCCACAAGGAUGACACACAAAUUUGUGAAGCAUUCCAUAAAGUA
rnacentral:snRNA from 1 species